rnacentral:rRNA from 1 species
UCGAGAAUUUUUCUCAAUGGGCGCAAGCCUGAAGGAGCGACGCCGCGUGGGGGAUGAAGGGCUUCGGUCCGUAAACCCCUGUCAUCUGGGAACAAACCUCAUCCGUGAACAACGGAUGGGCUGAUAGUACCGGAAGAGGAAGGGACGGCUAACUCUGUGCCAGCAGCCGCGGUAAUACAGAGGUCCCGAGCGUUGUUCGGAUUCACUGGGCGUAAAGGGUGCGUAGGUGGCGAUGUAAGUCUGAUGUGAAAGCUCAGGGCUCAACCCUGAAAUGGCAUUGGAUACUAUGUUGCUUGAGGUUCGGAGGGGAGACUGGAAUUCUUGGUGUAGCAGUGAAAUGCGUAGAUAUCAAGAGGAACACCGGUGGCGAAGGCGAGUCUCUGGACGAAUCCUGACACUGAGGCACGAAAGCUAGGGGAGCAAACAGG